rnacentral:rRNA from 1 species
CCCGCUGAAUUUAAGCAUAUUAAUAAGCGGAGGAAAAGAAACUAACAAGGAUUCCCUCAGUAACGGCGAGUGAAGCGGGAAGAGCUCAAAUUUGAAAUCUCCGAUGCUUGCAUCGGCGAGUUGUAGUUGCGAGAAGCACUUUCUAGGCGGAUCGACGGUGCCUAAGUUGCUUGGAACGGCACGUCGCAGAGGGUGACAACCCCGUCUGUGGCGCCGCCGGCCGCCGACGAUGUGCUUUCGAAGAGUCGGGUUGUUUGGGAAUGCAGCCCAAAACGGGUGGUAAACUCCAUCUAAAGCUAAAUACUGGCGUGAGACCGAUAGCGAACAAGUACCGCGAGGGAAAGAUGAAAAGAACUUUGAAAAGAGAGUUAAAAAGUACGUGAAACCGUCGAAAGGGAAACGAAUGGACUCAGCAAUGCGCCCUCUGAGAUUCAGCCGGUGGGUGGCGGCGGCGCCGGGUUUGCGGAUCUGAAUGGACCGCGGCCUGGCGCCCGCCUCUCCCCGCCGUCGCACUUCUCUGGGGCGCGCGUCAACGUGGGUUGGGACUGGGUCUGAAAGGCGCCGGGAAGGUAGGUGUGGGCCUUCGGGUCCGUUCUGUUACAGCCCGGUUCUCUCAUGGCUCGGGCCCGACCGAGGAGCGACACGGGGCAUGCCUCCUGUGGCUAGGGUCCCGCCCUUCCGGCCGGCUGUCCAGUGCGGUGGACUGCUUGCAGUGCUCCGCGACGGCUGCCGGUCGUUGGGGUGGUGAUCUCGUACCAUGCCCCUAGGAUGUUGGCGGUCAUAUGGGUGC